UAUUGAAGACCCAAAAUGGACCGUUCCUAAGUACGCCAGGCUGUAGUGACGGUUCUCCGCAGAAACAAAAACAAAUCUAUAAAUGGCUCUGACACCAGCAGUUACAGAAUUAUGUGAGAAUCCAAAUGACGUCUUCUUUGAUGUGUGCAAGUUGUUACUUUCCUACGCCGACAAUAUUUUAAGGGAUCCCAAUGUGGAAAAAUAUAGAUCAAUCCAGAUCGGCAGUCCUACUUUUUCGAGCAAGCUGCUGCCAUUCAGCGGUGCUGUGGAAUGCCUCUUCGAGAUGGGCUUUGAGGAGUCUGACACACACUUGGUGUUCUCAAAAUCAGCAUCGUUGGAGCAACUGAAGGUUAUCAGGGAGUCCAUA